ACCGGCAGCAAUAUGAAGGCCAGGCUGAAGACUUUGCCGGAUUAGCUGAGAGGUGGUGCAUGGCCGUCGUCAGUUCGUACUGUGAAGCAUCCUGUUAAGUCAGGCAACGAGCGAGACCCACGCCCACAGUUGCCAGCGUACUCUCUGGAGUGACGGGUACACUGUGGGACCGCCGCUGCUAAAGCGGAGGAAGGAAUGGGCAACGGUAGGUCAGUAUGCCCCGAAUAUCCCGGGCUACACGCGAGCUACAAUGGUUGGUACAAUGGGUAUCUACCCCGAAAGGGGACGGGAAUCUCCUAAAACCAAUCUUAGUUCGGAUUGAGGGCUGCAACUCGCCCUCAUGAAGCUGGAAUCCGUAGUAAUCGCGUUUCAACAGAACGCGGUGAAUACGUCCCUGCUCCUU
rnacentral:rRNA from 1 species